AUAUAACGUUUCGAAUCUGUUGCUGCAUAUUAAAUUUGUGUUUUGUGAGUGUUUUUUUUUUCGGGGCGUCGAGGUCACAUAUUUUAUGAUGGGGUGUACUGCUAUAGCUGUGACACACUGUCACAAGGGGAUAGGAAGGGGUAAAAAUUGGCAAAAACACUGUCACGUAUUUUGUGAAUGCCCCCAUGGUAGAACACAGCUUGAUAUUUCUAUGUAUUGUAAACCAAACUGCGGAGCUUUUAUCGAAGUAUGCUGUACAGAACUGACUUAUAAAAAUGUGUCAAAUUUUCAACCGCUUGAAAUCUUGCUGCACGGACAGUGAUGCUUACCGCAACUGGGUAACUGUUCAUUAUAUAUAUAUUUAUAUAUAGACCUUAUAUUUAUGUAGACCUGUUAAGUAUUUUUCACUCAGUUAGCACCAACUGUAUUCCAAGCCGAAUUGAGAUAUGUAUCUAUGAAUGUCAACAUUUCUCAAAACGACCAUCAUCUAGCUACACUAGAUUUCUAAUCUUAACUUCUAAAGUUGAGUAAUUAAUAGUAAGACAAUUUUUUUCAUUCGACAGGUCAACAUGAGAGGAAAGAAGGAAUUAUUCAUGCUGAUCACAGGCCUCGUGUUGUUUAUAUUUGACGUGGUCACAGACAUAAUUGUAGCAACACGGCAUAGGCUUAAAGGCGAAUAUUGGUGGUAUGGUUUGACGGUAUUUUUUAUUAUCGUACCUCUUUUCAUCGUCAAUUUUAUGGCUCUCGUAGAUGAUGGUCCUUGUGCAAGACCAAGCUUUUGUUUAUUGUUUGUAUGUUCGUCCAUAUUUGUGCGUUAUGUCGAAGAGUUCAAAUAUUGGAAGCAAACAUAUCGGGAUAAUUCAACUUGUGCAGACAACUGUAGGGAAUGCAAUUGUCCAGAUUGCGAACAGCACCGCGCGGCGAUAACAAAGUAUAGCGAGUCAGCAUACAAGUUCGCGAGGGUACGUUAUGUAGAGACACUUACCGAGUCCGCUCCACAAUGGUGUCUACAGAUUUACAUCAUGUUACGUGAGUGGCAUUUUCCAUGGUUAACCGUGUUCUCAGCCGUGAUUUCCCUGCUUUCUUUAGCAUGGAGUAUUACCGCUCUUGAGAAAGCGAGAUUAAAUAAAAAUAGCCAUAACUUCACACUGCCAGCCACGGUUGUAUUUUUCACUUCCCAAUUGUUUAGUUUGUCAUCCAGACUUUUUGCAAUUGCAGCAUUCGCAUACGUCUUUAAGGAACAUGUGUUCACAGCACUGGCGGUUCAUUGGCUGAUAAUGUAUAUCUCAUCGUUGACAGGCGAUCAGAAUGAUGAUUGCAAGCACGAUGUACUAAUAUUGUUUGCAGGAUACAUUGUUUACAGUUUUCCGUUCUUGUUACACGUGUCAGAAAUGUUAACAAAAAACUUUUCAAGUCGACGCACUGUCUAUUUUGUGUUGUACAGUUUAAUAUCCGUGGAGAACGUUCUGUUCGCAAUCUUGGCGGUGACAAUACCAACACCUGAUGUGAAACAUACGAGUGUACUGAGACCAAUUGUGCUGUCGUUGGUUAUAAUAGGCGUGGUCCUAGGUACCAUUUUUCACAUAGUGUAUGACAAGCUCCUCAAACCGACAAAAGAACUACACAAACCAGACGAAGAACAAAACUUGUAAUACAACAUACUGUCAAGUGAAUGAUAUCUGGAAAAAACCCCACUUUUUUAACAUCUCCGCAUGCAGAAAUUAAUAUGUUGCUAUAUAAGAAUUAACAAUGCUGUGUUACAAUACUAAUACAGUGUGAAUUGAAUGCCAUGAAAUAGAGAAAGAAACCUACCUUAGAUUAAAUGAUUAAAUUUUAACAAUAUUCUUAACUUACUAUUCUCAACUUAUAUAUUAAUAAUAUUCGUAACCUAUUUUACCUUAAAUUUUAUGACCGUGUAAAUAACUAUAAACUAAAUUUGACUUUGAAUGUAAACACAUUGUAAUUCAUUGUUUAUGCGAAAAUGUGUCAUUAAA